rnacentral:rRNA from 1 species
GGUCAAGUUACUAAGGGUAUAUGGGGGAUGUCUAGGUGCCGAGAGGCGAUGAAGGACGUGGCAGGCUGCGAUAAGCCCGGGGCAGGUGCCGAGCAACCGCUAAUCCCGGGAUCUCCGAAUGGGGCAACCCGUCGGAACUGGGCAACCAGAUUCCGUCACCACUGGCUGAACGCAUAGGCCAGUAGGAGCGAACGCAGGGAACUGAAACAUCUAAGUACCUGCAGGAAAGGAAAUCAACCGAGACUCCGUUAGUAGCGGCGAGCGAAAGCGGA